UGACCUCAAAUCGGGGAGACACCCGCUGAACUUAAGCAUAUCAAUA
rnacentral:rRNA from 1 species